UACGGAGGAUCCGAGCGUUAUCCGGAUUUAUUGGGUUUAAAGGGUGCGCAGGCGGGAGAUUAAGUCGGCGGUGAAAUUUUGCAGCUCAACUGUAAAAGUGCCUUCGAUACUGGUUUCCUUGAGUGUGGAUGAAGUAGGCGGAAUUUGUGGUGUAGCGGUGAAAUGCUUAGAUAUCACGAGGAACUCCGAUUGCGCAGGCAGCUUACUAAACCACUACUGACGCUGAGGCACGAAAGCGUGGGGAUCGAACAGGAUUAGAUACCCGCGUAGU
rnacentral:rRNA from 1 species